CUACGUGCCAGCAGCCGCGGUAAUACGUAGGGUGCGAGCGUUGUCCGGAAUUACUGGGCGUAAAGAGCUCGUAGGUGGUUUGUUGCGUCGUCUGUGAAAUUCCGGGGCUUAACUUCGGGGUGGCAGGCGAUACGGGCAUAACUAGAGUGCUGUAGGGGAGACUGGAAUUCCUGGUGUAGCGGUGGAAUGCGCAGAUAUCAGGAGGAACACCGAUGGCGAAGGCAGGUCUCUGGGCAGUAACUGACGCUGAGGAGCGAAAGCAUGGGGAGCGAACAGGAUUAGAUACCCUGGUAGUCCAUGCUGUAAACGGUGGGCGUUAGGUGUGGGGACCGGUUUGGUUUCUGUGCCGUAGCUAACGCAUUAAGCGCCCCGCCUGGGGAGUACGGCCGCAAGGCUAAAACUCAAAGGAAUUGACGGGGGCCCGCACAAGCGGCGGAGCAUGUGGAUUAAUUCGAUGCAACGCGAAGAACCUUACCUGGGUUUGACAUGCACCAGACGGUUGUAGAGAUACGUACCUCC
rnacentral:rRNA from 1 species